AGUGAACGCUGGCGGUAGGCCUAACACAUGCAAGUCGAACGGCAGCACAGUAAGAGCUUGCUCUUACGGGUGGCGAGUGGCGGACGGGUGAGGAAUACAUCGGAAUCUACUUUUUCGUGGGGGAUAACGUAGGGAAACUUACGCUAAUACCGCAUACGACCUACGGGUGAAAGCAGGGGAUCUUCGGACCUUGCGCGAUUGAAUGAGCCGAUGUCGGAUUAGCUAGUUGGCGGGGUAAAGGCCCACCAAGGCGACGAUCCGUAGCUAGUCUGAGAGGAUGAUCCGCCACACUGGAACUGAGACACGGUCCAGACUCCUACGGGAGGCAGCAGUGGGGAAUAUUGGACAAUGGGCGCAAGCCUAAUCCAGCCAUACCGCGUGGGUGAAGAAGGCCUUCGGGUUGUAAAGCCCUUUUGUUGGGAAAGAAAAGCAGCAGGUUAAUACCCCGCUGUUCUGACGGUACCCAAAGAAUAAGCACCGGCUAACUUCGUG
rnacentral:rRNA from 1 species